UAGAUUUUUAAUGUUGCAGCUAAAAGUUUCUUCAAAGAACUGAAUACACAUAAAGAUGAAUAGCAGAAGAUUUAGGUUUUAUGUUUGCCUCUCUAUUCAUACAGAUUUUGUUACCUAGAAGACAUGGUAUACUGGUAUGCUUAAGCAAGGAAGUUGACAGUAUUGUGCGGGAAAACUCAAAUACAUAAGAUUUUGUGCCUUCGUCGGUUGGAUUGAUUGCUCGUCAUGUAUGGUCAAGGUAAUUAUGUACCUCCUAAACGGGCUCAGGUUCGUGGUCCUCUAAAUGAACAUCCUCCUAGGGCACCUUCACUUCAUUUCUCUCAAGGAAUAUCCUCCUCCAACUCUUCUUUGGCACCUCAAAGUUUCCCAUCUCCUGCAUAUCAUCAACCUUUUCCCUCCGCUGCUCAGCAAGGUCAUGCCUUUCAAAUUCUACCGAAUGCUGCUCAAUCUUUCAUACGGCCUCCCCAAGCAUCGGUGCAACAAGUUCGUGAUUGUUUUAUGCCAAGUAAUAAUUAUUACCCAAAUGUUGCACAAGGUAUGCAGUGGCCCCCAAAUGUGAAUCAAACUCAACCUCAUGGUCCUUUUCUUCAUCCACGCAUACCAGGUCAAAUUCCAAGAAAUCCAGAAAUGUUUCCACACAAUCCUUUACUGCUUCAGUCACAAUCUGGAAUUCCAAAUCACCCACAACAUCCAGCUGGUCUGCGUCCCAUCCCAUUACCAUUUCUACCACCACCACCACCUCCUCCUCCAUUAACACCUGGGUUCCUCCCUCCUCCACCAGGUAGAUCCAGUUUACCAGGACAACCUGAUUAUGUAUUCUCAUUUCCUAAUCCUCCUUUACCUUCCUCUCCUCCUCCACUUUCUCCAUCUCCACCACCACAAACAUCUCCAGCUCACUCUUCUUGCAUGGAUACUAUGCCCUCUGCACCUUCAUGUUUUGUUGCUGGCUUCAGAAACAACUCUUUGCCACUUCUACCACCACCUCCUCCAAUACCUCCUGGUUUCCUCCCCCCUCCACCAGGUAGAUCCAUUAUACCAGGACAACCUGAUUCUGGAUUCUCACUUCCUAAGCCAUCUUUACCUGCCUCUCCUCCCCCACUUUCUCUAUCUCCACCACCACCUCCACCACCACCACCGCCAGUAUCUCCAUUGCACUCUUCUUGCAUUGAUACUAUACCCUCCUACGCACCUUCAAGUUUUGUUACUGGCUUAAAAAACAACCCUGGACUAGGUCCAGAUGCCAGUCUUCCUGGAGAUGUGGUGAUAGCUUCUGUUGGUUUUGAUACGUCAUCUAAUACCUCUAUAUCUGAAGAUAUUAUGCCCGACAUAAGUCAGAAUUCUGAAGUCAGAACAAGCCAAGAAUCACACACCAUUGUGACAAAUUUAGCAUGUACAGAACUGAAAUAUCCAUCUCCCUCCAAACUAGCUAAUACCACCCCAGAUUCAGAUUCUGACAUGGACAUGGAAGAUGAUUUCACUCAACAACCUCGGGAAGUCUCAACACCCAUUGGGAACAUCACUUUGAAAGAGCUUGAUGAUCAUGAUGGAGGACAUGCACGAAACAAAGUUGAUAAUUUUGGUUCUUCAGAUGAUUCAAUGCCCAACUCUUCUAGACUUGAUACACAUGGAAAAGAAUCUGCUCAAUUUGCUACAAAUCAUUUCCCAAAGUAUGAAGCCUCAAUGGCCAAUGCCUGCAACUCAGUAACAAAUUCAGCUUCCUCUAAGAACCCUUUAGAAAGUACAGUGGAAAGUUUGUCGACUUCCUUUUGUGACGGCACCAAGCAAUUAAAUGAAUCAGCAAGCAUGGUAGGCAUCAAUUUUGAGAACUUUUCUGGUCAAGUGAUUAAAAGUGCAAGCCCGUUCAGACACCUACAAGAUUAUGCCUCUGAUAAUAGUUCUGAAGAGGAUGAGAAACAUUCCCUUGAUGACAUAAGCCCAGUGGCAUCAGCAUUGCUUGCAGUGGGUUCUUCCAGUAUGCUUGGAUUAAUUGCAUCUAAUUCAUUGGGAGGUCAAUUGUCUGGAUCUUUCUCUGAAUCCAUUGUGUCAUCUUUGCAGACCACACCCUCAAAUAUGGGAACACUACCCAAAUUAGAAUGUAAUGAGAAGAAAACAUUUUCAGAAUCUGUUACAGCUGUAGAUCAUUCAGAAAAGAGCAAGAUGAACCAAGAAUAUGUUAAUGAUUCUCCUUCUCUCAAAGUUUCCAUACAAGAAGAUUCUCUUGAAGAAGGUACACUUGCUGUAUCUGCUCAUCCUCCUGAGGCUGAAAGCGUCAAGCCACAAAGGGUAGAACCGAAGGUUGAUGAGUUUGGAAGGUUGGUAAGACAAGACGUCAACAGUGACUCUGAUGAUUCAUCUUAUGUUGAGAGGCGUCAUGGGAGGGGAAGAAGUUGGAGCCGGAGCCAUUCUCCUAACGAUAGACGAAGGAGGAGGAGUCCAAGGAUGAGGAAGAACACCCGCAGUCGUUCUCGUAGCUGGUCUCCCAAUAAACGAAGGAGCGUGAGCAGAUCUCCUUCUCAUAGACGUGGAGAUGAUUUUAAUGGUGACAGAAGACUAAAGGAUAAAGGUCAUCUAGGAGUUUGCUUUGACUUUCGUCAGGGAAGGUGUUACCGUGGAGCAUCAUGUCGGUAUAUGCACCGUGAACCUGGAAAGAAUGAGAGCAGGAGGAAAAAGUUCAAUACUGGUCAAGAAGAGGUUAAGAGACAGGCUAUGCAGAUUCUCCGUGAUGAAAAAGAAACUGUAAUUUCAGAAGCAGUUGUAGAUGAGGCUAAAUACGAGAGACACAGAGAAAUGAUUUUCCAAGAAGGAAAACCUCCAGACAAUAAAGAAGAGGACGUGCAAGCUGCAAGCAACAGGCUUCUUGUUGAGGAAAAUCACAUGAGAAGCAUAGGAAUAAAGGAUGCUUCAACCAAAUAUUUAUUAAGUCCACAUGCUGGUGACUCUCUUUCUGAAGGGCAAAAUACUUGUAGAAAUGGGGUUAGCUCUGGAGCAGAUAUUUUGUCUUCAGUUCAGCAAUCAGCCACCUUCCUAGACCCUCCUCAAAUGUGUGAACUCCCUCCAAGUAGUUGCACUUUAACACAAGCGUCACUUGAUAUUUCAGACUGUCAUUUACAUGUAAAACCCACUAUUGGAGUUUCUGAAGUCAAGAGCACCUAUUUUGUCCCAGAUGUUACUGGGAAACAUAGUCUUGUGGAGUCAAAAACUUCAUCAAUUGCUUCUUCUAGCUUUACUACUCUCCAAGCUCCAAUGACUACACAACUUUCACAUCUUGUUUCGUCCUCAUAUACCCCAAGGCAACUUUCUUUAUUGCCCACAUCACAGCUGGUUCCCACAAACAGUUUCGUGGAAAAUCACAUCGCUGCUGAUGCGAAUCCAUCUGCACAUUUCCCCCCUAACAGACUACCCUUGGGAAAUGACCUCACUCAGCAAUCAGUUUUGGGUAAUUUUUUGCAUGAAAUGUCUGGACUCCCUCAGGCUACUGAAGGCCAACACCAUAGCUACUCUCCCAUACCCAAGUUUGAUCAAAGAACACCACACUUAGACAAUUUCAAACCUAAAACUGCACCUACCGUCAGCAACCAAAUGAAUCUGCCCCUUGCAGGUAAUGGUCCAACAGGAGAGUUUUGCUUCUCAUGGCGUCCCUUACAAUCAUUUCCACCACCAAAUAUGUACUCAUUGCCUGGGAAGCCACUGAUGGAUUCAACAAUGAGUACUGUGUCUUUCCCUAUUGAUGGUUUACCUACAUCUUCAAAGCAAGAUCCUUACUCAAUUCAGCAGCAGCAGUUUACUUCUCAUUUGACUGAUCAUGUAAAUGCAUCUUCUAUUUCUAGAUAUACAUCAGAUAUUGACGGCAAUGAUCAACCUCAUUUUUCUGGUUUCAGUGGAUUGCUAGAUUCAAAAUAUUCAAGCCAUUAUAAUCCAAAUGUAUCUAGAUUUGAUCAGCUGCCUAGUUCUCGAUACAGCUUAACUACAUUUAAGCAUGGAUAUGAUGCUCCUUACAGUUCGAGUCAUGCUCUUAUUGAUGGACAAGAUGCUAGAAAUCUCGGUACAAGGCCUAAAUCUUACUUGUCUAAUUCAAACAAUAUGGCUGAGCAUGCUUUACCUCCGGCAACUGCUGACCAGUAUGAUCCACUUUUUGAUAGCAUCGAGCCUUACUCUGCCUCAUCUAAGAAGCAGCUUGAACAUGGUCUGAAGGAUGAAUCUAGAAACGAGUCUGGUUCCAUAUUAAGAUCCAGUGGUUCCCAUCUCCCCUUAGAUGUGAAUGAAAAUAGUAACAAAAUGUUGGGAAGCGGUGCUGUGACUAAAUCUGUGACUAGUGAAAAUGAAGAAUUUGGUGAAACGGCUGAUGAAGAGGUGAAUGAUGUGGAGUUUAGGAGUUCAAGCAAUCAAAUUGAUGUGACUAAUAUGGAUGAAAAUGAUGUUGAAAUUGAUCAAGUUAAAAUGCCAGCAAAGGGUAGGAAUAGUAAAGAUUCAAGAUCUAUGAAACUUUUCAAAGUUGCCCUAGCAGAUUUUGUGAAGGAAGUGCUAAAGCCAUCAUGGAGACAGGGUAAUAUGAGCAAAGAGGCAUUUAAGACUAUUGUCAAGAAGACUGUUGAAAAGGUCUCAAGUGCUAUGAAGGGCCGCCGCAUCCCUAAGACGCAAGCUAAGAUAAAUCACUAUAUUGACUCGUCACAGCGAAAACUCACCAAGCUUGUGAUGGGUUAUGUCAAUAAAUAUGUCAAAACAUAGAACCUGAUCCGUUAAAUGGCGCUGAUGGAAAUUGUAAUAUGUAGUGAGUGGCAAAUGAAAAUGCUAUGUUUGGACGUGUGUGAGAAAGAUAAAGAAGUCGUCCAACGAGAUGUUGUUAUCUCCCGACUUGUCUCUGCCUUUCCGAUCCUGUUGUACAGUUUGUGUCCAUUGGAGUGCCAACUGGUUUGCAACUAAGCGUUCAGUUUCCUUGAGUAAAUCAAAGUGUAUUUUCGAUGAGAGCAAAAGAGUUUGUUUAGAUCUAGCCAAUUCCAUGCCAAGAAAGAAUUUUGGAUUUAUAGUCUUUGAUUUUGAAUUCAUUAUGAAGGUGCCAUUUUAUUGUAAC